rnacentral:rRNA from 1 species
AAGAGGGAGGGGCAACUGUUUAACAAAAACACAGCUCUCUGCUAAGUCGCAAGACGAUGUAUAGGGGGUGACACCUGCCCAGUGCCGGAAGGUUAAAAGGAGAAGUCAGCGCAAGCGAAGCUUUGAAUUGAAGCCCCGGUGAACGGCGGCCGUAACUAUAACGGUCCUAAGGUAGCGAAAUUCCUUGUCAGGUAAGUUCUGACCCGCACGAAAGGUGUAAUGAUCCCUUCGCUGUCUCGGCUAUAGACUCGGUGAAAUUUUAGUACCGGUGAAGAUGCCGGUUACCCGCAACUAGACGGAAAGACCCCGUGGAGCUUUACUAUAACUUGAUAUUGAAAUUUGGUGUAACGUGUAGAGGAUAGGUGGGAGACUAUGAAGCAGGACCGCUAGGGCUUGUGGAGUCAUCCUUGGAAUACCACCCUCGUUACAUUGACUUUCUAACUUAGACCCGUUAUCCGGGUUGAGGACAGUGUCUGGUGGGUAGUUUGACUGGGGCGGUCGCCUCCUAAAAUGUAACGGAGGCGCUCAAAGGUAUUCUCAGUAUGGUUGGAAAUCAUACAAAGAGCGCAAAGGUAGAAGAAUGCUUAACUGCGAGACUUACAAGUCGAACAGAUACGAAAGUAGGACUUAGUGAUCCGGCGGUCCCGAGUGGAAGGGCCGUCGCUCAACGGAUAAAAGUUACCCCGGGGAUAACAGGCUGAUCUCCCCCAAGAGUUCACAUCGACGGGGAGGUUUGGCACCUCGAUGUCGGCUCAUCGCAUCCUGGAGCUGAAGUCGGUUCCAAGGGUUGGGCUGUUCGCCCAUUAAAGCGGUACGCGAGCUGGGUUCAGAACGUCGUGAGACAGUUUGGUCCCUAUCUGUUGUGGGCGUAGGAAAAUUGAAGAGAGCUGACUCUAGUACGAGAGGACCGAGUUGGACACAUCCCUGGUGCUCCAGUUGUCAUGCCAAUGGCACAGCUGGGUAGCUAUAUGUGGAACGGAUAAUCGCUGAAGGCAUCUAAGCGAGAAGCCUCCUUUAAGAUGAAUUUUCCCAUUCGUAAGAUGUAAGAUCCCAUGUAGACCACAUGGUUGAUAGGAUGGAUGUGUAAGCGCUGCGAGGCGUUAAGCUAA